rnacentral:snoRNA from 1 species
CGGGCUGGACUGCCGUGGUCGCGGCUGAAUGAAAAGCCCGCCCGCGGCCGAGUCUACA